rnacentral:rRNA from 1 species
UACGUAGGGUGCAAGCGUUAAUCGGAAUUACUGGGCGUAAAGCGUGCGCAGGCGGCUUUGCAAGACAGAUGUGAAAUCCCCGGGCUUAACCUGGGAACUGCAUUGGUGACUGCAUUGCUGGAGUAGUGGCAGAGGGGGGAUGGAAUUCCGCGUGUAGCAGUGAAAUGCGUAGAGAUGUGGAGGAACACCGAUGGCGAAGGCAGCCCCCUGGGCCAAUACUGACGCUCAUGCACGAAAGCGUGGGGAGCGAACAGG